CGGUCUCACUGUGUUCUCAGAUCUGACUCAUUCUCGAGUAUAAUUCUCUUUUCUCUUUUUCUUUUAUUUGUUGGUGGCGGUUUGGUCCAAUUGUGUGUGGUGGUUUUUUGCUAUAUAUGGAAAGCUUUAUCUUCUGCUAUAUGGAUUUUUCAUUUUUGUAAAUUUUUUUUUUCCCUUCUCUCAUUCUUGGGACAUAGAAAUUGACAGAAGAGAGUGAGCACACAGAGGCACUUGUAUAAGCCUAUACUUUUGCUUUUGCGUGCUCACUUCUCUUUCUGUCAGCUUCCAGUGACCGGAAUCUGAUCACUUUUGGGAUCAGUUCACGGCUACCUGUUUUCAUGUUCCAGAAUCAUUAAAAAAGUUUAAGCCUGCAGGUAAUUAACAGAGACCACAGACGAGCAACUUCUUAUCGUAAGAUAAGUUGGAUGGAGCUGGAGGAGGAUUGGUGAACAACUUACGAUGACAAACUCUUCAUUCAAGU
rnacentral:miRNA from 1 species